rnacentral:rRNA from 1 species
AGCAGAGCAUUGGGCCUAAAGCGUGCGUAGGUGGUGGUUUAAGUCUGCUGUGAAGGCCCUGGGCUCAACCUGGGAAUUGCAGUGGAUACUGGAUCACUAGAGUGUGGUAGAGGGAUGCGGAAUUUCUGGUGUAGCAGUGAAAUGCGUAGAGAUCAGAAGGAACAUCCGUGGCGAAGGCGGCAUCCUGGGCCAACACUGACACUGAGGCACGAAAGCGUGGGGAGCAAACAGGAUUAGAUACCCUGGUAGUCCACGCCCUAAACGAUGCGAACUGGAUGUUGGGUGCAACUUGGCACCCAGUAUCGAAGCUAACGCGUUAAGUUCGCCGCCUGGGGAGUACGGUCGCAAGACUGAAACUAAAAUAAUUGACGG